AUAGUUAAUCUGCCCUACACAAGAGGACAACAGUUGGAAACGACUGCUAAUACUCUAUACUCCUGCUUAACACAAGUUGAGUAGGGAAAGUUUUUCGGUGUAGGAUGAGACUAUAUAGUAUCAGCUAGUUGGUAAGGUAAUGGCUUACCAAGGCUAUGACGCUUAACUGGUCUGAGAGGAUGAUCAGUCACACUGGAACUGAGACACGGUCCAGACUCCUACGGGAGGCAGCAGUAGGGAAUAUUGCGCAAUGGGGGAAACCCUGACGCAGCAACGCCGCGUGGAGGAUGACACUUUUCGGAGCGUAAACUCCUUUUCUUAGGGAAGAAUUCUGACGGUACCUAAGGAAUAAGCACCGGCUAACUCCGUGCCAGCAGCCGCGGUAAUACGGAGGGUGCAAGCGUUACUCGGAAUCACUGGGCGUAAAGGGCGCGUAGGCGGAUUAUCAAGUCUCUUGUGAAAUCUAAUGGCUUAACCAUUAAACUGCUUGGGAAACUGAUAGUCUAGAGUGAGGGAGAGGUAGAUGGAAUUGGUGGUGUAGGGGUAAAAUCCGUAGAUAUCACCAAGAAUACCCAUUGCGAAGGCGAUCUGCUGGAACUCAACUGACGCUAAGGCGCGAAAGCG
rnacentral:rRNA from 1 species